ACCGACGCCGACGCCGCAACCACCGGAGCCCCUUCAAGAUCGCCGCACGCUAGGACCUUCGCCAAUGGAUGUCAGGUAUAUUGUUUUAUUCUAAGUGUCUAACCAUACUUUUUUUAUGUACUCUAGAUGGGACCCAGGACCAAGGAGGAUCGCCGCCGCCACUACAAGAUCGUCCCCGCCGGAGCAAAGGACUUCGAAGAUCUUUAAAUGGAGCAGACAAAGUUUCCCAAUAGGAUUCUUCUAUUGAGUAGGGCAUUUGGCCCAGACAAAGCUGUUGCAUUCCUAUGCUGCUCUCCAAUUAUCAAUGGUCAUCGAAACCUACAGAAAAAAAACAGAUUUAUCACAAAGGUUGCAGAAGACGAUUUUUCGUGAACAAUCUACAAUCACUAACUGACUAACAGAUGGCAUAGACAAGGCACAUGAGCAAAUAUAAAGCUGCCUACUACAGUUCUACUCAUUGUUGAAGCAUCAUCAGUUCAUCACCUCGGGAUUUCGUCUGUUGUGAUGUGUGAUGCUGCGGUGGUGGCUUUUUGGAUUUUGAUGAAGACUUGAUACAAAUUUGGAGUGGAGAAUAUUACCAUGCGUGUAGGAAGGAACGCGAAAGGCAACUGAAACUACAAGUAGCCUACCAUCAAUUCUUUGAUUAAAAUCGCCGUUCUGCUGAAUGCUUUAUCCUGUUGAUGCAGAUCACUAACCCCAGCGUGGACAACACAUGUUGUUUUUUCAUGUUUUCUACAAAUAAUGGAUUGACAGACAAGCCAUGGGUAAUCUUCAGGUUAAUUGCAGCAACUUGGGACUUGGGAGAAGUCCUGUGAAAAGACACAGGGCACAUGACCAGAUUUGUGUUUUUCUGAAUGUUCUAUUCAAGUAGUAGUUAGUUGGAAGUUGGAACCCUAACUCAAACACAGACAACACAUUGCUGCUGCCUUACGGCCACAGGCAGGAAAAUGAUUCUUUUCUUCAGAAAAUUGGAAAGCUGUUUGAGUAAUAAUCUGGUAUUCAUCCUCACUUGAUUCAUUUCGUGCCAGUUAGUGAAAGGCGUGAAG